GCUACUCAGGCUUUGAGAGCAGGCAUUUAUGCUUGUUGGCAGACUAAUUAAGGGAAAUGAUAUGCCAAAAGAGUUCUCGCCUCAUCAUUUUUUAAAAUGUGUUUACUCAUAACUGUGCUUGGAUUGGUGGCCAGAAGGGCUAGAAGAAGCACUAAUCCUCCAACAAUUCUAAUUCUUUUUGCACGAACAGCUUACAUUAUCACCUGUUUUGAGUGAAAAGCCAUAAAUUGGUCCCAGGUUGCAAGGCAAAUUUCCUAACAGCCUCUGUUCCAUGUACCUGAAGAGAAAAACAGAAGACAGGAAAUGUAAAAACUGGCAAGAACUUAAUAAAAAUUUACGAUGAACUCUGCAUGCACUGACAUAGGCAAUGUGAUGACCCUAGGAUGUAUACUAACAC
rnacentral:lncRNA from 1 species